UUUUGGUGGCAGAAAGUAUUAACCUGUAUUUAAUUAAUAAUUCAAAUUAUAAGCUUAAUAUUUAUUUUUGGGCUCGUUCCAAAUCCUGUACAACCAACACAGCCUAUCCAUUAUCCAUAUUGCACAAUACAUUUGCUCAUCCAAAUAGAAGUAUACACAAUGUUGGAGAAUCCAUAAUCAUUCAUUAUAAAUAUCAUCAUCUAUAAGUCUAAAGUCAAGCAUACCUAUUAACCAUUC
rnacentral:lncRNA from 1 species